rnacentral:misc_RNA from 1 species
GAACUGCGAUAAGUAAUGUGAAUUGCAGAAUUCGGUGAAUCAUCGAGUCUUUGAACGCACAUUGCGCCCCCUGGCAUUCCGGGGGGCAUGCCUGUCCGAGCGUCAUUGCUGCCCUUCAAGCCCGGCUUGUGUGUUGGGUCGUCGUCCCCUCCGGGGGACGGGCCCGAAAGGCAGCGGCGGCACCGCGUCCGGUCCUCGAGCGUAUGGGGCUUUGUCACCCGCUCGAUAAGGACCGGCCGGGCGCCAGCCGGCGUCUCCAACCUUUUUUUCUCAGGUUGACCUCGGAUCAGGUAGGGAUACCCGCUGAACUUAAGC